rnacentral:rRNA from 1 species
UCCGUAGGCGGUGUGGUAAGUCGGGAGUGAAAUCUCUGGGCUUAACCCAGAGGCUGCUUCCGAAACUGCCGUGCUAGAGUGUGAGAGAGGCGAGUGGAAUUACGGGUGUAGCGGUGAAAUGCGUAGAUAUCCGUAGGAACAUCCGAGGCGAAGGCGGCUCGCUGGAUCACAACUGACGCUGAGGGACGAAAGUGGGAGGGACGAAACAACG